rnacentral:lncRNA from 1 species
AUUCCAAUCACCUUCUGGUGUCACCAUUGUGUAAACCGUAGUAUUUGAAAAUGUUGGUUGUAGUAUAAUGCAAUACUCACUCAAUGGACCUAAGUCCCUGAACCAGGUAUCUGUCUAGAAUUUCACCUCUCGACUAGUUACCACCUUCCAAGACAUUUUCCCCUGAAUAUCCUUCCAAACAAUCUUCAAGGACCGCCAAUGUAACACCCCAAACCCGGCCCAGACGUUAUGGCCGGAUCUGACAUGCCACACUGAAGCGUUCAAAACAUUUUAUAUUGUUGAUCCAGAAAAACUUACUUAGUGUUUUAAA